rnacentral:rRNA from 1 species
UCAGGUAGGAUUACCCGCUGAACUUAAGCAUAUCAAUAAGCGGAGGAAAAGAAACUAACAAGGAUUCCCCUAGUAACUGCGAGUGAAGCGGGAAAAGCUC